rnacentral:rRNA from 1 species
CAGCAGCCGCGGUAAUACGAGGGGGGCAAGCGUUGUUCGGAAUUACUGGGCGUAAAGGGCGCGUAGGCGGCCAUUCAAGUUAGAUGUGAAAGCCCUGGGCUCAACCUAGGAAUUGCAUUUGAUACUGUUUGGCUUGAGUUCGGGAGAGGUGAGUGGAAUUCCCAGUGUAGAGGUGAAAUUCGUAGAUGUUGGGAAGAACACCAGUGGCGAAGGCGACUCUCUGGUCUGUAACUGACGCUGAGGCACGAAAGCGUGGGGAGCAAACAGGAUUAGAUACCCCAGUAGUCCCUGUCUCUUAUAC